CAGGAUAAAGUAUUCAUAUACCCCUCCCUUACACCGAGCCCACGCACUCCCCCCCUGCUAUCCUGC
rnacentral:tRNA from 1 species